rnacentral:snRNA from 1 species
ACGUGACCAAUGAGGCUUAGCCGAGGUGCGUUUAUUGCUGGUUGAAAACUUUCAUCCAAUUGCCCGCCGCGGCUCCUGAAACGUCUCUUGAUAU